CCACGUCAUGAAAAGUAAAAAGUUUGUCAGCAUUUUGAAAGGAAGUAUCAGUUUCCUUUCUGUAAUGUGUUGUUCUUCAAACGGUGCAACCGUUCAUUUAAGUGAAUUAAUUCCAACUGACUCUAACCAACCUUUUAAGUUAACUCAAAUAUUUACUUAUAAUUAACGACUAGAUGACAAGGGAAAGCCACAAGGCAACAGAAAAUAAAGCAUUUUUUUGGUAUAAAAAUGUGUGAUUCAGAAAACCCGUGUUACUCAAAGCGACCUCCAAUGAAUUCGAGGUUAUGGAUUAUUAUUAUUAUGGAGCAGGUGAAGGGAUGCAUCCUGCUCAUCGGUUUAUAGAGCGUGACUUCGCCACUCUAUACUAUUGGAACUUCAACUUGUCUUGCAGGUCGGAAACAGAACACAUCCACUGCUGCAGUCCGAGACCUACCUCUGAGGAGUUGGGCUCCUCUUUGGUCCGCAUUAAGACACCAUUGAGAAGAGCGGUGUCUUUUGCCACCUCUGCCAAGUCUUGGAGGAGACGAGUAUCCGACAGUAUCGCCUCGGGUAUGCCCUGCUCCAUGGUGAUCUACCUGGGAAA